rnacentral:lncRNA from 1 species
CAACUGCAGCUCACUCCCACAAGAAACCCCGAGAAGAUCCCAUCAAACACAUCUUUAAGGAUUAAUCACCAGGAAGGAGGAAUACAUUUCACCUGUGCUAUCCCUCAGUGGCACAUCAUUAACCCGGGUGCGUCCUGCCUUAAAGGGGCUCGGCAAACACCUGUACAGGCCAGAACGCUGCCUGACUGGAUGCAGAAGUGCCCAUGAAGCUGCUCAUGAGCACCUCCAGUGAUGAGUUCUGCUUGAAGGCUUGAAGAGAAAAUCAUGGAUGUGCUUUUGAUCUUUGUCUUGCUCCGAUACUUAGAAGUAGAGCCCACAAAGCCCCCAGGAGAUUCAGCAGGAAAAUCAGGAAUAUGGCAGCGUGGUAUGAAGGAUUUGUUCCUGGCAUCAGCAAUCUCAAGUUUUGAAAUGAUAUGUCAAGUGAGAAUGAUCCAAGGACUAGUGACCAUCCAUUCUGAGUUGCUAGGAUCAGAAUGACGGGGCUUCACUUUGACUUCCAGAAGCACUGGGAGAUUCUAUAUACUCCCUAGUAACCAGAGAAUGCCCAAGGUAGCAUGUUAAAAUGAGUUCAGAGUUGGGUGCCUCCAUUACAAAACUAAACAGAUCAAGGAAAUUGGUCUAGACUGCUCUUCAAAAGAUGGUCUUCUCCUAACCUGGCUUAGCAAGAAAUAAUGAAAUCACAUCCAUGUCUGUAAUAAAGUUUUUGAUAAAACCAAACAUGUAAGAAUAUAUUAUCUAACAGGUUUGUUUUUGGAAUAAUAAUAUGCAUGUGAGAAAAACUAAAUAGCAAUAAAAAAUACUACAAUAGUACCC